rnacentral:misc_RNA from 1 species
AUUUUUUUUUUUUAUGGAAAUUAUACAUAAAAAUAUAAAUCGAUUGGGAGUAUCUGGAGAGGGACGUCAUUGUCCAAGUGGGGUUUUCGUGUCAGCAAAGCUUUUCUGUGUGAUUUGAGCUUAAGCUCACAUAUCUUCUACUACUUCCAAAUCCCUAAUCUCUCAUUAUCAUUAAGUCUUGAAAAUAAAAUCAACCCAUUUAGAAAUAUCUGGGAAUUAUGUAUCUGAUCGUUCACAAACAAUAAUUGAAGGACUAACCCUCACAUUAAAAAAAAAAAAAA